UUGCCCUCUUGUUGCUGACGGAAUCUCCUGGCAGGAAAAUACCUGUCAUCGGUCACAAGGGCCACCGGACAUGUGUCUUAGCAAGUGACGUUGCACGCACGACUUAACUCCAGCAAUUUUACUAUACACAAGCGAUGUGGGGAGAUCAGACUGAAAGUGCCAUGAACCCUGAAGUGGCGCUGUUUGUUGGGCCUGCAAGCGCUCAGCGGACGACUGGAGAUGCGCGCGCGCAGCCGACUGUGCAGGAGCAGCGUUGUGUCGCCUGUCGCCGUUCCGAGCAAGGUGCGUGUUUACUCAACAGGGGUGUUAACGUCAGUCCAGGAAAUCGAUGUUUAUCCUCGACCGUGUCAAGAGUGAAAAGCAUGUCGGAGUGUGUAUAACCCUCUCAGCUGCCUUUUGCUUUGCCUGCAUCUCUUCACUGUCCACAAACACGCGCACUCACCCAGACGCACACACACAAAAUGAUGGUCUGACUCAGCUCAGGCUUUUCCAUUGUAAUAUAAAUGGUGGGUGGUGUGAGAGCGUCACACAAGAUGAUUUUAGCAAAUGCAUAUGACAAUACUACGCAGAAAGAGAACAUCAUCACUUUGUUUUUAAAACUCUGCACCCAGGGUGUCCCCCCCGCGCCCCCAUCCCACCCCGUUCCGUCCCGUCUUUGUGGCCACUUUCCCAGCGCUCCCUCGGGAGUCUUUCCCAGCUGCCGCCAUUCGUUGCAGUCCCAAACCGCAGAUGACCAUCACGGCGGCCCGCGUGCUGACAUCACCGGCCCGGCCUCCACGCGCAGUCGUACGCAGCCCGGCUCAACUGACCGUCUCUUGGGACACUGCAGCCUAAAUGUUUGACACACUGAUGUCUCCCUUUGCAAGUUGGAGUUCCCAGGGCCUCAGAGUCGUGGUUGUCGUCAGUGAGGCUUAUUUUUGAGUAGUUGUGAAAGCCUGUUGUGGCUGAAAGUGACACACAGGAAGAGAGGAAGGACGUCUGGAUAAAUCAUUCAGUGAAGAUUGCUCAUUUUUAUCUGAUGCUUUAUUUAUUUAUUAAUUUUUCCAAUGUAGUGUUGGCUUGGGGUCCGUCUGUAUUGCAGAUUUAUUGGAGGAAUGUACAUAUCUAGCUCGCUGUCACAGGAAUACCCACUCUAAUGAAGUGUGUGUUUUUUAGCAUCGUUUUCUUAUCCGAUGGUUGAAAACUGCUUUCAACCAUUGAUUGAAUGCUUGGAGAAACACAUAAGUGCCCUGAUACAUGACAACUCUACCAUGCCCCGUCUUUUAAAGGCAUAUAGUUAACAUGCAGCCACAGCAAUUUGCGCAGCAUGUUGUUUAAUUUUUUUUUUUAUUGCAAUGCAAUUACACUGUGUUUUAAAAGGGUGUUUAAAAUGACGGCCAGUGCAUAGCCCUGGGCUUUGUUUUGGCACGCUUGAUUUACUUAAUUUGAACAUGUACAUCGGUUGCGCAUGAUUAAAAUGUGGUAACCCGAUGUAAUUUCCCCAUGUUUUCCUCAAA